rnacentral:rRNA from 1 species
GAUUAAGUUAUUAAGGGCGCACGGUGGAUGCCUUGGCACUAGAAGCCGAUGAAGGACGUUACUAACGACGAUAUGCUUUGGGGAGCUGUAAGUAAGCUUUGAUCCAGAGAUUUCCGAAUGGGGAAACCCAGCAUGAGUUAUGUCAUGUUAUCGAUAUGUGAAUACAUAGCAUAUCAGAAGGCACACCCGGAGAACUGAAACAUCUUAGUACCCGGAGGAAGAGAAAGAAAAUUCGAUUCCCUUAGUAGCGGCGAGCGAAACGGGAAGAGCCCAAACCAACAAGCUUGCUUGUUGGGGUUGUAGGACACUCUAUACGGAGUUACAAAGGACGACAUUAGACGAAUCAUCUGGAAAGAUGAAUCAAAGAAGGUAAUAAUCCUGUAGUCGAAAAUGUUGUCUCUCUUGAGUGGAUCCUGAGUACGACGGAGCACGUGAAAUUCCGUCGGAAUCUGGGAGGACCAUCUCCUAAGGCUAAAUACUCUCUAGUGACCGAUAGUGAACCAGUACCGUGAGGGAAAGGUGAAAAGCACCCCGGAAGGGGAGUGA